UAAAAUUAUGUUUUGGGAUGGAAACGAAAUUUCCCAAAUUUAAUUGGAAAGGGGCGGAACAAUUUCUCCAAAACAAACAUUUAAGUGAUGGCCCAAGCCCAACCCACUUCCCCGAGCCCCAUAAUCACUACCGCCUUGCCCUUGUUGUAUCAGAACAACUUGCUGAAGCACCCAACUCAACUUUCUGCAAAAACCAAAACCUCGCGCCUUUGCGGCGGCUUUAAUCUGCCGCGGGUGCAGAAACUGUGUGAAGAAAUUUCAUCUUUUCCUCUUUCCAUUUUAUUUUAAAUGAUCUUAGUUCUUUGCAAUCUUCAUUGUAGCGAGCGCGAAACCGCGAUUUCAGCGAGUCGCGCCGUGUUGUUCUCGUGAAAUGCACGAGGCAGCCGCAAGCGCCGCAUCUGUCAUCUCUGCAGCGGCAGCGCCGCCGCCACGAUUAACUACGAACUACGUCUACUGUUUAAAAAACUCUGAUAUUGCUACUCUCUUUUAAUUAAAUUACGAUAUAGAUGCUUUUUCAGUGUUUCAAUAAUGGGUAAUUAGGUUUACAAUUUCACUUUUCACUCUUUUAAUUUGGAAUCAACCAUUGGUUUCUUUCACGUUUGAAAAUUUGUGAUGUAAUAAUGUGUUGGUUGCUUCUGCAGUGUGAUGAUCCUUGUUGCGUGAAACUUCGAAUUCAUUCACAACAAACCGCUUUGAAAGAGGGUUUUUUUGCUUGUAAGCAUAAACAUGUCUGCUUCUUUGUCCCAAAGAGAAGAACAAAUAGAGAAUGUUUCGAAUAGAACCAUUCCCAAAGUGCUAAUCCAAUGUGAAGAAUGCAAAUCUAACCCCUCAAAGUACAAGUGUCCAGGUUGCUCGAUACAAUCGUGCAGUCUUCCUUGUGUAAAAGCUCACAAAGUUCGGACUGGGUGUAAUUCCCAAAGUGCUAAUCCAAUGUGAAGAAUGCAAAUCUAACCCCUCAAAGUACAAGUGUCCAGGUUGCUCGAUACAAUCGUGCAGUCUUCCUUGUGUAAAAGCUCACAAAGUUCGGACUGGGUGUAAUGGCAAGAGGAACCAGACUCAGUUUGUUCCUAUUACACAGUUUGAUGACAAUAUCUUGUUAUCUGGUACUUACUCUUUAAACUGUGUUAUGUUAUGCCUUUGAUCUUGAGAACAUUUAUGUAACACAGACACUUCGGAUUGAAGGAAUGUCAAAUGUUUGACACAAAAUUGACACAUGUUUUUACCUUUAAUAACUCAUUUUUUAAAAAUUGUUACUGCUGUCUACAUAUUAGUGUCGGUGUGGUAACGUAUAAGUGUCGGUGUGGUAUCCGGUAUCCUUGUAGUAUGUAUCAGUGCUUUAUAGGCUUUUUUUUAGUUGGAGUGAAUGAACUUAUUCUUCUUGUUUGUGUUAUCCUUGGAGAUAAGGUAAAGGACCAUUCAUUUUGGGUUCCUUUGGAUAUUUUUACAUUAGUACUUCUUAUCUUAAAUUCAAUGUUCUUUUUUGGAUUAUUUUAUUUAGCACAUUUGAAUUUUACUUUUUUUAAUUUUCCAUGCUUCUUGUUAUUGUCCUUUCCUCCAUGUAGAUUAUAAUUUGCUGGAGGAAGUGAAGAGAGUGGCUGAAGUUGCUUCGAGAACAAGAACAAAGUUAGGCAUGUCUACAUAUCUUAAGUUGCCUCAUCCCCUCAAAAGCCUGCAAUAUGCUGCUAGAAGCCGGAGCACAAAACUAUUGUUUCUGCCUAAUGGAAUGUCAAAAAGAGAGAAUAAUCAAUCUCGAUUUGACGAUAGGUAUUAUCAUCUUUCAUGACAAACAUUUGUUGUUUUAGGAGGGUGGUACAUACAUUAGAGAAAUUUGAACAUACCGCUAUUUUUUGCGAUCUGCUCCAUAUUUAGAUUAUUGAGGUGAAAGCUUUUGUUUCAAAUAAAGUACAAAUAUGUUUAUGCUUUACUUUCAGGAAGAAGUCUAUACAUUGGACAAUAGAAUGGCGUUUUCACCUGACAAAUAUUGUCUUACACGACCACGGGUAAGCCAUUUAUAUGAUGUGCCUUAUCUUGUUACAUGCUUAAGAAUUUAGAGAAUACAAUUUUGAAAGAAUGCUACACUCAUUUCUUCCAGAGUUCAUGAAGAUACAAGCUUUUGCACCAUUCUAGAGAAGCACCUCAAACCAGGUCCUUGGAAUCAUCAACUAAAGGAAUUUUGUGAUGACCAGGAUCAUCUCAAGCUCUUCAUUCGUAAAUAUCCAAAGGUGUUUUUCUAUACUUUUUAUGUGGUAGAAAUGCAGUAUAAAAGCUAGUAGAAUUUUAGGGUAUGUUUGGAUAGAGGAUUUUUCAGGGGAAAGGAUACUUAUAUGAUCAUCUCAACCAUGUUAUUCGUUCAAUAUAGAUUUAGUCCUCCAAACUUUCCAUCCAAACAUAUACCCUUAGUAAUUGAUUGACUACAUCAAAGUUGACUUUAUUUUACUUAUAAAUUUCAUCUUGUUUAUGUUAAUAUAGGGUCCCAAGUCACCCUUCAAAGAAUUGGAUAUAAAAGCACCAAUCAGACAACAAUUGAAAAAUGUAGUCAUUUUGGAGUAUCCCGUUGUUUUUGUUUUCUUGCCGUCUCACACUAUCAAUUUCGAAGUUAUUAAGAAUGUCAUUCCUAGUAUGCCUAAAUCACCGCAGAAAGAUAGUGAAGUUAACCUAAUACCAGAAGGUGUAUCGUUCAGGGAAGAGGAGAUUGAAGAUGACAACAGCUUUGAUGAUCCUAAGGUUUUUGAUCUUAUAAAGCAUUCAGAAUCAAGUCCAUCACAUCAAGUGCUUACUGAAAAUAUUCUUUCCGAAAAAGCACCAAAUGAUUCAUUAGAUAUACCAGUGUUUGAAGGAGACGUUGAGAGAAAUCUUUCGCCCUCAUC
rnacentral:lncRNA from 1 species